rnacentral:rRNA from 1 species
AUACGGAGGGGGCUAGCGUUGUUCGGAAUUACUGGGCGUAAAGCGUACAUAGGCGGACUGAUCAGUUGGGGGUGAAAUCCCAGGGCUUAACCCUGGAACUGCCUUCAAUACUGUCAGUCUUGAGUUUGGGAGAGGUGAGUGGAAUUCCUAGUGUAGAGGUGAAAUUCAUAGAUAUUAGGAGGAACACCAGUGGCGAAGGCGGCUCACUGGCCCAUUACUGACGCUGAGGUACGAAAGCGUGGGGAGCAAACAGGAUUAGAAACCCCAGUAGUCC